rnacentral:rRNA from 1 species
AUGAACGCUGGCGGCGUGCCUAAUACAUGCAAGUCGAGCGAACAGAUGAGGAGCUUGCUCCUCUGACGUUAGCGGCGGACGGGUGAGUAACACGUGGAUAACCUACCUAUAAGACUGGGAUAACUUCGGGAAACCGGAGCUAAUACCGGAUAAUAUAUUGAACCGCAUGGUUCAAUAGUGAAAGACGGUUUUGCUGUCACUUAUAGAUGGAUCCGCGCCGCAUUAGCUAGUUGGUAAGGUAACGGCUUACCAAGGCAACGAUGCGUAGCCGACCUGAGAGGGUGAUCGGCCACACUGGAACUGAGACACGGUCCAGACUCCUACGGGAGGCAGCAGUAGGGAAUCUUCCGCAAAGGGCGAAAGCCUGACGGAGCAACGCCGCGUGAGUGAUGAAGGUCUUCGGAUCGUAAAACUCUGUUAUUAGGGAAGAACAAAUGUGUAAGUAACUAUGCACGUCUUGACGGUACCUAUUCAGAAAGCCACGGCUAACUACGUG